CCCGGCUGCUCCCGGCACGUGACGCGCGACCGUCGCGACGGAGGCCGCCGCAGGUGGCAUCGCAGGGCUCGCCUCUCCAGUCGGUUUCCUCCAGGAAGCCCACCUGGAUUACGAUCCAGAGAUUGUGUCCUGGGUGAUGGAAGUUCCCAGAAGCCAAAUCUCUGAAUGACUUGUGACCCUGGCCCAGUAAUCUCCUCCAACUGUAGAGCUGGGGAAAAUGUUGCUGCUGCUCCUGUUGCUGAAGACACUGUGGAAUUUGAAUCUGUGAAGUGUACCUCUUUGAGAAAGAAUAUUGAAAUCAGAACCGUGCAUCUCCCAUAUGGAAUGAAAAAGAAUUAUGAAAAAAAGACUCAGACCUAAAAUAUUUUUGUUUAUUCCGGUGCUAUGCUGUUAAAUGUCUUGGUCUGUGUUUUAAAUUGUUGGGCAUUUUGGGGUUGGAUGGCUCAGUGGUUGAGCGUCUGCCUUUGGCUCAGGUCAUGAUCCUGGGGUCCUGGGAUCAAGUCCCCAUCAGGCUCUCUGCAGGGAGCCUGCUUCUAACUUCUGCCUAUGUCUCUUCCUCUCUGUGUCUCUUAUGAAUAAAUAAAUAAAAUCUUC